GAUGAACGCUGGCGGCGUGCUUAACACAUGCAAGUCGAACGAAGCAUUUACGACAGAUUUCUUCGGAUUGAAGUUGUUUAUGACUGAGUGGCGGACGGGUGAGUAACGCGUGGGUAACCUGCCCUGUACUGGGGGAUAGCAGCUGGAAACGGCUGGUAAUACCGCAUAAGCGCACGGUGCUGCAUGGCACAGUGUGAAAAACUCCGGUGGUAUAAGAUGGACCCGCGUCUGAUUAGCUAGUUGGUGAGAUAACAGCCCACCAAGGCGACGAUCAGUAGCCGACCUGAGAGGGUGACCGGCCACAUUGGGACUGAGACACGGCCCAGACUCCUACGGGAGGCAGCAGUGGGGAAUAUUGCACAAUGGAGGAAACUCUGAUGCAGCGACGCCGCGUGAGUGAAGAAGUAAUUCGUUAUGUAAAGCUCUAUCAGCAGGGAAGAUAGUGACGGUACCUGACUAAGAAGCUCCGGCUAAAUACGUGCCAGCCGCCGCGGUAA
rnacentral:rRNA from 1 species